rnacentral:rRNA from 1 species
AGCUCCAAUAGCGUAUAUUAAAGUUGUUGCAGUUAAAAAGCUCGUAGUUGGAUUUCUGGUGCAUUCCACUGGCCUAUUGGUUAACUCCAACUUGGCUCAUUUGGAAUACGCCAUCUUUAGGCAGACCCGUCGUGGCAUUAGGUUGUCGUGAUGGUUACGCCUAUCGUUUACUGUGAAGAAAUUAGGGUGUUCAAAGCAGGCUUAUGCCAUGAAUACGUUAGCAUGGAAUAAUGAGAUAGGAUUUCGGUACUAUUUUGUUGGUUUGUGUACGGAAAUAAUGAUUAACAGGAACAGUGUUGUGGGUAUUCGUAUUUCGUUGUCAGAGGUGAAAUUCUUGGAUUUACGAAAGACGAACGACUGCGAAAGCAUUUACCAAGGAUGUUU